GCACAAUCCACAUAGGUCUGCAUGGUCCAC
rnacentral:piRNA from 1 species